UACGUAGGGGGCAAGCGUUGUCCGGAAUCAUUGGGCGUAAAGCGCGUGUAGGCGGCCCGAUAAGUCCGCUGUGAAAGUCCAGGGCUCAACCCUGGGAUGCCGGUGGAUACUGUCGGGCUCGAGUCCGGAAGAGGAGUGUGGAAUUCCUGGUGUAGCGGUGAAAUGCGCAGAUAUCAGGAGGAACACCAAUGGCGAAGGCAGCACUCUGGGACGUGACUGACGCUGAGACGCGAAAAGCGUGGGGAGCAAACAGG
rnacentral:rRNA from 1 species